AAACUUUUGAUUGCAUGCUUAUUUAGGGAAAGGAAAAAUAGAACUGUCACCGGGAUCGAGAAAGAAGACCUUCGAGGAAUCAUAUUUUAUGAUAAAGUAAUGGCUACUUUUAUUUGAUGUUUUAAAUAAUGAUUAUAUAGCUGUUAUAAGUCUCGAUUGAUUUAUGGUAUUAAGACAAUGUUUAUCGCUGGAUCCUAAGUGAGUUUUUAAGCAAAAUAACUCAUUUAAUUAAAUCAAAACAAAAUAAAGAUAGGCUUACCAAUCCUUAACUAAGGUUGUUUGGGACAGGUUUUGAAGUGAGGUUUUCCACCACAUGUCAACAGGAAAGGGCACAAGAAUUUUUUUUUUGUUUCUUUCUUUCUUUUGUUUUCUCUUUUUUGUUUCUUCGUCUUCUCCGUCCAAAGUUUUCUCAACUCUCCGGUUAACGCCGUGUUCUUCAUGAGUGACUCCAGGCUUCUUCCUAUUCCUAGCCAAAACCGCCGCCGAGUAAAUCGCCGCCAUUCUUCCCGAAGACGAGGAAGUUAACCGGAGCUAGCUCUUUCAAGACGUUGAAGGAGAUCGAGAUCUCGUGGAUGUUUUGUUGUGGGGUUAUGGUGGAGGUCGCGUAGUGGACGAUGGCUUGGAGCUGGAUCGGUGUCGCUGAGUAAUCAGCCGCUGCUGCCACCGAUCGGCUUUUGGCGCUUGCGGUGGAGCAGAGGAAGAACGCAUCGUCGGCUGAUCGUAUGAAGGAUGUGAAGAGUAGAGCGCUUCCGAUAAGACCGGCGAGUAAAAUAAAGGUGAUGAUCGUAUGAAGGAUGUGAAGAGUAGAGCGCUCUCGAUUCUGUUGAACGUGUAGCUUAUCUACUACUUAGUACCAUCAAUGCUAUUGAUUGAUUGCUCUUUUUUACUUAAUUUUUGUUGCCUAUUUGUAGAAUGUGAGGCAAGCAAGUAGAUCACUGCAGCAAGGGAAAAGCAUGAUUGUUGCGGGCUUUGCUGACUCGGGAUCGAGCCAAGUGUUUUGGCUGCUGAAAGAGAGUGAGGCAAACAAGUACGUCACUAUAGUUUGUUCACGCUGAGGCCUCACUGAUGCCAAACCUUUAUAAAUGUUUAGUACUUUGCCAUGUCUCAUCUUUUUAUGGUUUUGUUUGACUAAUAAGUUGCUUUGUAUGUACUUUGCAACAGUAUAUACAAAUGGGAAUUGAUAAUGAUGCUAAUAAGUCACCCAAAUCGAUAGCUGUUAGCAACUCCAGUCAGGCAAUUGAUUGGUUGGAUGCUGUAUUUCCAGAUUUGACUGAAUAGGGAACUAGAGGUGAUAAUAAAGUGGUACUGAAAGCUCAUCCUUAUGCUUUGCUUGAUGCAUCAUUGGCUUUACAGAAUGAAUAUACUCUCUCCACGACGAUGGUGUUGAUUCAACAGCCUUACACUCCCUUCCCUUCACAAGUUCAGGCCACGGGAAGAGAUGAAGCUCUCAAAACGCCAUCUGUUCACACCGUGCUAAGUAUAUGCCAAGAAGAGUCCGACGUAUCAUCUCUGUUGGACAAAACUACACCGUCACAGAGGGGAGUUCAAGCCGCGAAACCAACGAGACAGAAGACACCCCACAACGAGAUUAAGGUGUGAUAUAUAUGUUUCAUGUAAAUACCCGUGAUAAUCUAGUUUAAAUUCUAUUCCAUGCUCCAUUAUCUACUCAUAUACGUUUUUCAUCUUGUCAUUGUUUGGUUGUCGACAUAGAUGGUCCUUGUUUGCAUUACCUUUUAGUAGUCAACUAGGUAGUUUUGGACUAGCUUUUUGUUUGAUUUGUUGGUUCAAGUUAUAGAGAUCUUAUCUAUUGAUGACUUUUAUGUGUGUAGUACUUCUCAUUUGGAUUGAAGAAAGUUUCAUUUUGUAACA